UGGCCACAAGCUGUACCAAGCCAUGUUUAAUUUGGACAUCUGGAAGAACUUAAUCACUGAAAGCAUUGUCAGAAUUUAAUCAUUGAAACCACUGUCAUUGGGAGGUGGUGGAGCCCCAUCCCUGGAGGUGUCCAAGGAAUUGCUCUGGGCUCAGUGACAAGCUGGAAGCAUCAUCUCAGGCCAGCACGAAAACCCCCUGUGUCAAAGAGCUCUCAUGUGAGAUAGGAAGUGGAUGUGAAUUCCCUGAUCUCUCGUGCCAGGACUGAAAUAAUUUCCUCUGAGAAUAACAUCCAGAUGAUGGAUCCAUCUUACUAUAAAUGGCUGAAUUCAGGGCAGAAGAGUUACAUGCAAAGCAUGAAUCAUACAAGGAAGAGUACUGAAGGAGGAAGAGGAGACUUCCCCAUGAGGUGUCCAUGGGGGCUUAGCACGAGCUCUUUCUGCCUGAAACACCUUGGGUAGCUGUUGAUUUCUUCUGCAGUAAUUCACAGGUGCCAAGG